CGACCUUUGCGACACUCUGGCCGAUACCAUCCAUUCCCGUUCUGGGAUUGGAGCUGUACCCCACGGUAUCGGCUUAUUUUGUGCAAAGAAGAUUGAAACAGACCGCUUACUCACCGCGGUAUCCUUUGAGGUUCGCUUCCCUCGGUGGAUAUGGCGGUCCAUCAUAUUGGUCGACAU
rnacentral:snoRNA from 1 species